rnacentral:rRNA from 1 species
UGAGCAACCUGCCCUUGACUCUGGAAUAACAGCUGGAAACAGCUGCUAAUACCGGAUAUGACCUCCGAUGGCAUCAUCUGGAGGUGGAAAGCUCCGACGGUCAAGGAUGGGCUCGCGGCCUAUCAGCUAGUUGGUGUGGGUAAUGGCCCACCAAGGCGACGACGGGUAGCCGGCCUGAGAGGGUGACCGGCCACACGUGGGACUGACGACACCGGCCCAGACUCCUAGG